CAGUCGCCGCGGUAAUACGAAGGGUGCAAGCGUUAAUCGGAAUUACUGGGCGUAAAGCGUGCGUAGGCGGUGAGUCAAGUCUGCUGUGAAAUCCCCGGGCUCAACCUGGGAAUGGCAAUGGAUACUGGCAAGCUAGAGUGUGUCAGAGGAUGGUGGAAUUCCCGGUGUAGCGGUGAAAUGCGUAGAGAUCGGGAGGAACAUCAGUGGCGAAGGCGGCCAUCUGGGACAACACUGACGCUGAGGCACGAAAGCGUGGGGAGCAAACAGGAUUAGAUACCCCUGUAGUCCUGUCUCUUAUACA
rnacentral:rRNA from 1 species